CCAUCUCCACUCUGGGGUAGGGCCCUCCAGUUUCGCCCCUUUGAAAUUUCAAAUUCCAGUUUGUGGACAAAGUCCUAAACUUUCUCACAAUAUAGGUCCCCAACCACUGACCAAACUCCAGUCCAGGCAGCCAGCUGGUCUGGGGCUGGCCUGGCCCUACCGCUUCGCUUGGCAGCACUCAAGUCCAGGGGGAGGGGUCCUGGGCCGGCUGGGGUCUGCCAGGCCAUCCCCGCAGACAGGGACCACCCCACGCCACAGGGACCCCCGCCUCCCAUCUGAGAGGACAGCUCUCUUCCUGGAGCUGGGAUCUGUCGUUUGCUGGUACCAACAGCAGAUAUCAGAAAAUCCAGUUCUUGCCACGUCCAAAUGUAUCUCAGAUUUUCACCGUGUCUUCAUCUCCACCACAGCCAACCUUGUCCACAUCGAUAUCAUCUCUGGAGUUAGAUGUGACCGUGUGACUUGUUCUGGCCAAUGAAAUGAGAGCAGAGAGACCGCACGUCACACCUGAGCAGGAGCUUGAAGAGCCAGUGCUGGGGUUGUCAUGGAAGCAAGACUGGAUGUGGAGUCACCAGGAUGAUGAGUGUCCCGUGCUGGCCCCUGACGGGCAGGUACCAUGAGUGAGUGAUAGGCUCAGCUGUGUUAAGCCACCGAGACUGGGGCUUUUUGUCCCUGCAUCACAGUCUCACCUAACUUGACUGCCUAUGAUCUUUCCAAAUAUCCCUGAUUUUCCUAUGACCGUUAUGAUUUUUGUCAUAUCUGAAAACCACCUAUACUAUUAGUAUUUUUCUUACAUCACUUAUUUUCAUUUAGACUUGUUUUAGAAGGAAAUGUUAUUACUACCAAAUGAAACACCUGUAUCAUAAGUAGAAAGCAAUGGGGAAAAAAUGGAAUGAAAUAAACCAUUAUAUUUUGUAACACUGUUGCCUUUCAAAGACUCUGGGCCCUUGUUUGUUCUCUCUUCAUUAAAAAAAAAAAAAGGAGGUCCCGAAGUGUGUGGCAACCUUUUGGACCCCCAAAAGUUG